UCUUCAUUCAGCCUUCCAACAAGCUUUGUGCAUUCAGGAUUCGUCUGCACUGAACUGUUCAGGAUUUAUUGAGUCUUCGUGUAAAGGCGACCUAUACUGCGUAUGUGCAUCCACCUCGUCCCGACGCUACACAAACUGAUUCUCAGGAAGAGUGGCUAGCCUUGAAGUGUAUAUGAGACUGAGCUCCCCUCACAAAGAGGUACUCGCUGUCGAAGCUCUAGCUGCGAGUCCUUAUUUGCACAGUGUGGAUAAUGAUGUCCUUCAAUCUGCCUGUAAGACCUACUAUGAGACAGUGAGCAGAGUGUAGCAGCAGAUGAUGUGGGUUUCAGGAGGGACGCCACGAUUGAUGUCUGGGUUGACGGCUACAGUAUAUACAUCACAGGCGUCUGCACAUUGGACCACAUUAGGACAGAAUGCCACCAAAUACAUACGACUCAGAGGCAGCAAAAAAGACAUUUCAAGGCUCAUGUGAUGCCCCCAGGUCAGGCGAACUGUUGUUCCAGACAGUGGCUGGACACUUUGAAAGUUCCAGUUGUUGCUCUUACACAGUAAU